UACGGAGGGUGCAAGCGUUAUCCGGAUUCACUGGGUUUAAAGGGUGCGUAGGAGGGCAGGUAAGUCAGUGGUGAAAUCUUCGAGCUUAACUCGGAAACUGCCGUUGAUACUAUCUGUCUUGAAUACCGUGGAGGUGAGCGGAAUAUGUCAUGUAGCGGUGAAACGCUUAGAUAUGACAUAGAACACCAAUUGCGAAGGCAGCUCGCUACACGAAUAUUGACUCUGAGGCACGAAAGCGUGGGGAUCAAACAGG
rnacentral:rRNA from 1 species